AAUAAGCGGAGGAAAAGAAACCAACAGGGAUUGCCUCAGUAACGGCGAGUGAAGCGGCAACAGCUCAAAUUUGAAAUCUGGCCUCCUUUGGGGGUCCGAGUUGUAAUUUGCAGAGGGUGCUUUGGCAUGGGCGGCGGUCUAAGUUCCUUGGAACAGGACAUCGCAGAGGGUGAGAAUCCCGUAUGUGGGCGCCUGCCUUUGCCGUGUAAAGCCCCUUCGACGAGUCGAGUUGUUUGGGAAUGCAGCUCUAAAUGGGAGGUAAAUUUCUUCUAAAGCUAAAUACCGGCCAGAGACCGAUAGCGCACAAGUAGAGUGAUCGAAAGAUGAAAAGUACUUUGGAAAGAGAGUCAAAUAGCACGUGAAAUUGUUGAAAGGGAAGCGCUUGCAGCCAGACGUGCCCGCAGUUGCUCACCCCGGCUUUUGCCUGGGGCACUCUUCUGCGGGCAGGCCAGCAUCAGUUUGGGCGGUCGGAUAAAGGCCUCUGUCAAGUAUCUUCCUUCGGGAUGACCUUAUAGGGGAGGCGUAAUGCGGCCAGCCUGGACUGAGGUCCGCGCUUUUGCUAGGAUGCUGGCGUAAUGGCUGUAAGCGGCCCGUCUUGAAACACGGACCAAGGAGUCUAACAUCUAUGCGAGUGUUUGGGUGUCAAGCCCGGGCGCGUAAUGAAAGUGAACGGAGGUGGGAUCCCCUCGGGGUGCACCAUCGACCGAUCCUGAUGUCUUCGGAUGGAUUUGAGUAAGAGCAUAGCUGUUGGGACCCGAAAGAUGGUGAACUAUGCUUGAAUAGGGUGAAGCCAGAGGAAACUCUGGUGGAGGCUCGCAGCGGUUCUGACGUGCAAAUCGAUCGUCAAAUUUGGGCAUAGGGGCGAAAGACUAAUCGAACCAUCUAGUAGCUGGUUCCUGCCGA
rnacentral:rRNA from 1 species